GAUGAAGAACGUAGCGAAAUGCGAUAAGUAAUGUGAAUUGCAGAAUUCAGUGAAUCAUCGAAUCUUUGAACGCACAUUGCGCCCGCCAGUAUUCUGGCGGGCAUGCCUGUUCGAGCGUCAUUACAACCCUCAGGCCCCCGGGCCUGGCGUUGGGGAUCGGCGGAGCCCCCCGUGGGCACACGCCGUCCCCCAAAUGCAGUGGCGGUCCCGCCGCAGCUUCCAUCGCGUAGUAGCUAACACCUCGCGACUGGAGAGCGGCGCGGCCACGCCGUAAAACACCCAACUCUUCUGAAGUUGACCUCGAAUCAGGUAGGAAUACCCGCUGAACUUAAGCAUAUCAAGCGGAGGA
rnacentral:misc_RNA from 1 species